AUGGCUGUCGUCAGCUCGUGUCGUGAGAUGUUGGGUUAAGUCCCGGCAACGAGCGCAACCCUCGUCCUUAGUUGCCAUCAUUAAGUUGGGCACUUUAAGGAAACUGCCGGUGAUAAGCCGGAGGAAGGUGGGAUGACGUCAAGUCCUCAUGGCCCUUACAGGCUGGGCUACACACGUGCUACAAUGGCAUCUACAGUGGGACAGCUAUCCCGCAAGGGUGCGCUAAUCUCCAAAAGAUGUCUCAGUUCGGAUUGUCCUCUGCAACUCGAGGGCAUGAAGGCGGAAUCGCUAGUAAUCGCGGAUCAGCAUGCCGCGGUGAAUACGUUCCCAGGCCUU
rnacentral:rRNA from 1 species